GGAUUUUUUUCUCAUGUAAAGGUGGAUGAACCACAUCAUACAAUUGUAAUAUCUCUCUGUUUAUUCUUCUAAAAAAAAGGAGCUCAGAUAGUAGAGAAGCCCUUUUACACCACUUACAUGAUGCACCAAACUAUAAACGAGGUUACAAUAUCCACAAAAUAAUUUGAUAUUUACACCAUUAAACAUCAACUAGACGCAUCUCUUCUCCCUUAUCAUACAGAAUAAGAGCGUAUUUAGGUCAAUCCCCACGAGGAAUAACACUUUGAAAAAUUCAGGUGUGUAGUCAUUUCUAGAUCCAACCAUCAAACGUGGGGAAGUCAAC
rnacentral:misc_RNA from 1 species